ACCCUGUAGAUACCGAUGGUCACCCCUCCUCUAGCUCGGUGACCCCCACACUCCCCCACCAUUCUGCCUCUCCAGACACGGCUCCUGUCGAGGACUCCGCUCCGUGAGGGCAAGGAUUGCAACUACCAACUCUCUUGUCCUCUCCCAAGCGCUUAGCACGGUUCUCGGCACUACUGUAGCUGCUCAAGAAAUACCACCCGUUGAUUGAUGGACGGACCUAAGCUACCGCCGACCCCCAAGACUCCAACUGCCCAUUGGGACCCAGGCAUCCGACCCACAGCCCCCCUCGGAUGGCCCCGGCGGGCUCCGGCUCCUCGUCUCCCUUCGCUGGAGACUCACAGCAGGCCAGGUUGAAGAAGGAGCAGUGACGAGACGGGACCCACAGAUUGGAGGAUCCUGUGUCAAACACGACGGAGAAAUGUUGCGGGGGAGUCCCCAGGCCGAUCUCCCCGAAAUAUUGAGCCUGCAGGGGAAGAGGGAAAGGCUGGCCCAGAUCCCUCCCUCCCAUGCCCCCCUCCCCCAUACACACACACAUUUCUCCUUGACCCCCCUCAGUGCCCAGGACGCUGCCCGGGGGAGAGGCCACCGGAGAGAGGUCUCCCUGGCCUAGGAAAGCUUCUGUCGAACUCACAUCCAGGCCCUCCUUACCCUGGUGGUGACGUCUGCCCUUCGACUUAGGUUCUCCCCCACUCCCUAGGGCUUGCUUCCUGGGAAGCAGGUUCUCCCCUACUCCCUAGAGCUUGCUUCCGAGGAAAAGGUUCGCCCAGGCCCUGGAGUCUGGUUCCUGAAAAACACAGGUUCUCCCCCACUCCCUAGGGCUUGCUUCCUGGGAAACAGGUUCUCCCCUACUCCCUCGGGCUUGCUUCUUGGGAAACAGGUUCGCCCAGGCCCUGGAAUUUGGCCCCUGGGAAACACAGGACUUUAUUGGAGCGGGGAGCGAACCGGGAAAAGCUGGAAGUAGUCAAGAAUGAAAUGGACCGAUUGAAGAUGGACACCCUAGGAAUAAGUGAAUUGAAAUGGACCCGGGUUGGGCACUGCCAGUUGAGCGAGCAUGUCAUCUGCUACUCUGCUCGUGCUGAGGAGAGAAGAAAUGGCGUAGCGGUAAUUUUACUAAGACAGUUACUGGAUAUAAUGCUGUCAGUGACCGGUUGAUAUCCAUUAGGAGAACCACUCGACAUGACAGUACUUCAGGUGUACGCCCCAACACCAGAUGCAGAACAAGAAGAAAUGGGUUUUAUGAUGUAGAGAGAGCGAGAGUGAUAAAAGCUGCAAGUAGGAUGUGUUGAUUAUCCCAGGGGACUGGAAUGCAAACAUUGGUAGUGGAAUGGAAAUGCAGGUGGUUGGAAAAUAUGGCCUUGGAAACCGCGAUCAAGCCAGAGAUUGACUUAUUGAUUCCUGUGAAUCGAAUGACUUUUAUUGUCAACACCUUCUUUAACCAGCCUAAACAACUGUACACCUGGACUUCACCGUAUGGACUGUAUAGAAAUAAACUAUUAGUAGAAAGGGAUGGAGAAAUUCUGUUUUGGCCUCUAAAAUAUGGCCUGGAGCGGACUGUGGAACAGAUCGUAAGCUGUUAAUAUGUAAAGUCAGGCUAAAACUUAGCUCAUUACUGCCUUAUUGUAAUAAUAAUACAAUUAUUAAUACAAUACAAUUAAUACAAUACAAUUGUAUUAAUACAAUUAUUUACAUGACGUUGGGCAAGUCACUUCACUUCUCUGGGCCUCAGUUCCCCCACCUGUAAAAUGGGGAUUAAGACUGAGCCUUAGGUGGAACGGGGGCUGUGUCUGACCCCAUUAUCUUGCAUCUCCCCCAGUGCUUAGAACAGUGCCUGGCACAUGGUAAAUGCUCAACAAAUCCCAUAAUUAUUAUUAUUACAAUGAGAGCCCAAUAUUGUAAUAGUUAUUACAGUGAGGGCCCGAGUGGGCCCUGACGGAUAUUCUUUUUGCAAUAAAGACUAACACUA